UACGGGGGGGGCAAGCGUUGUUCGGAAUUACUGGGCGUAAAGGGUGCGUAGGCGGCCUGCUGCGUCGGUGCUGAAAGCGCCCGGCUUAACCGGGCGAGGCGUGCCGAUACGAGCGGGCUGGAGCCUUGGCGAGGGUGGCGGAACUCCUGGUGUAGUGGUGAAAUGCGUAGAGAUCAGGAAGAACACCCGUGGCGCAAGCGGCCACCUGGCCAAGAGCUGACGCUGAGGCACGAGAGCGUGGGGAGCGAACCGG
rnacentral:rRNA from 1 species